rnacentral:lncRNA from 1 species
GGUGCAUGAAAGAGAAUCCCAAUCUAACUGAGAUUCCUUUUAAGGGCUGUUUUAAAUCUGAUGUAAAUGAGUUUUUAAUCCUAACUAAUUCUUGUUCUAAAUCCUAACUAAGUCAGAAAUUGGUCAUAACCAAUUAACUAAUUAGGUUCUAGUUCAAUUAGGCCCUAAUCCAACUAGAAAAUUAAUUGAAUCAAAUCUUCAUCAAACUAGGGAUUG